GUGUAGGGGGUAGGAGAACCGCCCCCAGGCGAGGAAGUCCAACCGGUUGGGCGGGCUAAGCCUCGCCCUCCAGCGAAAUGGAAAAACCCUUGUGUGAAGAGUGCUGGGGACUGAUUUUUAUAAAGCCCUCUCCUGACCCGGACCAGUUCCAUUCCUCCUACUGGAGCUUCGCAGAGCCCUGAUGGGGUACAGUUCCUGGCGUUGUGCAGCGGCGAAACUGACUCUUAGAAAGGUUGAGGAACUUGCCCAGGGUCACGCAGCUGGGGUGUGGUCGAGCUAGGAUUUUAACCCAAGUCGUCCGGCCUCCAAAAGCCAGAUUCUCUCCGACGUUAGCGCCGCGCCCCCAGGGCGGAGGACUGCGUUCCCUAACACCGCAGACACAACGAAGGUGCCUUGGGUGUGAUUGAAAGACGCGAACGCGGGCCACCCAUCUCUGGCUGAUGGGUGGCUGCGCCUGCAGCCCCCGCAGAGGCUGAGCGUCGGCGGGAGCCGCUCGGGCUGUUACCGUAAGUCUCAGAGGAGCGGGGCACAACGGGAAAGGUAACGAAGAGCAGGACGGGCCGGAGGGCGCCGCGACGUGGAGAGACUGCGUUCCCGGCUCAGAAGCCUGACCUUGAAGGAGUGAGGGUGCGCACGCGCCCGAGGCAAGUCAGCCUUACUGUUCUUGGAAAGAACUAGAAGAGGAAAGAAAGGUCACUGCUUUAAAAAUAGGCAUGGAAAGAGCCAAAGGAACCCGGACCCAGGAUGUAACUCUGCCCUGGUCUUCGGCCCUGAGGAAGGGGUCUGUACUUUCACAAGCGGCAACAGCCAGGCGAUGAUUCUCAUCUUCAAUACAGCCCAUCAGCAACUGAAGAACCACAUGACCUCCAAAAAUUGACCAGUCUUCUUUGGAUUCCUUCCUUCCAUCACAGCCCUCAUUUUUCCCCCCGCUUAGGCAGCGGAAAAAAGGAAAAGCUCAUGUCCUCAGGCUCUAAGGUGGCAAGUUUGAAGGUUUGGGGAAAUUCCCUGACGGCGGAGAUGCACCAAUUUCCAAUGGGACCAGAUUAGCACAUUGAACUCUAAUUGCCAUCAUACUGUCAAGGUCAAUUUUCAGGCUGUGCAUGAGGAUGAGAACAGCUACCCACAGGUCUGUAAAGUUUCAUACACAAGAACCCAGCACCUGAAGACUGAAACUUCAGCCAGCCCCUAUGGAUUACUCUCUCCAUUCCAUAGGUAUAGAUGGAGGCAAGAGAUGUUUGGCUGGUCUGACCAAUGACUACUAGGUCGAAAGCCCAAGAGCCCAGGUAAGAGUUACGUGCAACAUCUAUGGCCAAUGGCUAUACUGUAUUGAGGCCCCGGGCAGCCCAGAAAAUUGGCCAGUGGUUCAGGAAGGUGGGUUCUAGACCCGUUCUUGCCAUCCCCUGGCUGGGUGACCUUGGAUAAGUCGUUUCACUCUUAUGGGCCCUCAUCAGUGGAUAGAGUACCAAUCCCAGUUCCAGCCCACACUGGGAGACCUUAGCCAACUCACAGCUUGGAGUAUCAGAGGAAGCUAAAGGGAUUUCUUUUCUUUUCUUAAUGUUUUAUUUAUUUUUGAGAGAGUGGGAAACAGAGAAUCCCAAGCAGGCUCCAUGUCAGCACAGAGCCUGACAUGGGGCUUGAACUCAUGAACCCUGAGAUCAUGACCUGAGCCGAAGUCAGAUGCCUACCAUCUGAGCCACCCUGGCACCCCAAGGGAUUUGUUUUCUAGGGUGUCCCCAUUAUGGUAUUCUGUGACUCCACCAAGGACACAUACUAAUGCCUAUGGGGGCAGCCUGGUAGUAGUGAUGAGAAAGAUGUCCUUGAUCAUGUUAGGAAAUGGAGAAGACCGGAUGACAGAUUCUCAGCUCCAGAACUGAUUGUGUUGCCAGAUAUUUCGUUUUCAAAUGGUGUCACAUGUUGGCAACUAAUGUGAAUUGUUAUAAAAUUCUGUCUUGGCCAAUGACUAGAGUCCAGAAGUGGCCUACUAGGUCAAUUGUGGAGUCUUCUGCAGCCCACUGACCCGAGGAAGAGUCAAACUAGGUGGGGACCUGGUAGGGGGGAGUGGUGGAUGCAGUGUCCCCUACUUGGAGAGCACAGAUGAUCCUGGCCAGAGGUGGGCUGGCGAGUCUGAAGGGCACCGCGCUGCGGCUCCUACCCCAGCUGCAGUUUCCCCAGCGCACCUGAAACGGCCUAGGUCGG